UCUCGCUCUCUCUCUCAAAAUAAAUAAAUAAACUUUAAAGAAAAGAAAAAAGACAGGCUCCUGACCUCUUGACUCAGAAGUUAUCUGUCAGGGAAUGUGGAUUGUAACAAGUUUGGGGGACCACUGCCACCGAGAGUGUGGACCUGAACCCACAUGGGCUCCACUUGGGAGCUUGUUAGAAACGCAAAUUCACAGCCCUGUCCAGAACCCCCGCAUCAGCCCCUCUGGAGGUAGGGCGCGAGGCUCUGCGUGAUUCUCAAACCCCACGCCUGCUGGGCCGGGUAAAAGCAGUGUGUUCGUUUCUUCUUGCUGCUGUGACCAAUCACCACAAGCUUAGUGGCUUAAGACAACGCAAAUGUAUUCUCCUACAGUUCUGGGGGCCAGAAACCUGCAAUCAGUUUCCCUGGGAUAAAGUCAAGGAGUCAGCAGGGUUGUGGUCCUUCCAGAGGCUCCAGGAGCAUCGGUUUCUUUGCCUGUUUUCAACUUCUCGUGGCUGCCUGUGUUUCUUGCCUGGGGGCGCCUUCCUCUGCUUCUGCUGCCGCAUCUGUCUCCUUCUCUGAGUCUGCCUCCUCUGCCUCCCUCUUACAAGGACGCUGGUGAUGACACUGAACCCACCAGGAUAAUCCAGGAUAAUCUCCCGUCUCAAGAUCCUCGACCUGAUCACAUCUGCAGAGUCCUUUUUGCCAUACUUCCUACCUAAACACAGAUGUCCAGAGACAGAGGAGUGGAAGAAGAGGCAAUAAAUCAUCCACAUUUGGGCAGGAUCAUCUUGCAAAUAACGACAUACCACUCAACCGAGAGGCUAAGUCCGUCAGUUGAGGCUGUGAAAUCCACCGCAGAAUGUCUUAAUUGAAAGAAAAAAAAUAAUAAACACUUUCAGGAAAUGAGCCCCGCGUUGACAGGAAACAGGACUGUUUAAUGUGUUGGACAAACGUCCCUUCUGAAGAAAAGUGCUGGUCCUUCCACUACUGACACAUCUAUGCAGGCUGACUUAAACCAAUAGCUGAGCUUCUGGGGAAAAGUGGGGACACUGUCUUCCGAAGGCCCCUGCCACGUAAAGGAUUUUCUGCUGUGAGUGUGUGCUAUUCUUAUGACGGGGAAAAAACGAGCUUUGAAGGACCGUGCUUCUGUGUUGAAUGUAGCGUCUACACAGGCAUCUACUUUGAACAGCUCUGAGAAUAUGCUCCAGGGAGUGAAGUGAGGAAUAACACAACCAUCCUGGCGCUGGCCUCCCUGCUUCUACCCUUGACUCCCUCCAGCUGGUACUCUGCACGGCAACCAGAGGACACAUCAUCUUUUAAUACACGACGCAGCCCACUUAUUCAGCACAGGCUUCAAUGUGUAAUUGGCAGGCCAAGAGACUGAGCUCUCCCAGCUCAUCUGCGCUGUGAAAAUGUGGAAAUCGCCUUUUGUGCCUGUUUUCCUCUCCCAAAAUAUAUAUUUUUUUGGCAGAGAAAUGAGCACAUUGUCUAUAUAGCCCUA